ACCAUUUCUCGAUUUGUGCCCAUCCCAUCAGCACUGGGCACAUAAGCAACAUUGGGCCAGAUCAGUAGUACGGUGGGGGACCACGUGCGAACCCCUGGU
rnacentral:rRNA from 1 species